CAUGUCGGCUCUUCACGUAACUUCGGGAUAAGGAUUGGCUCUGAAGAUUGAGAUAGUCGGGCUUGAUUGGGAAGCAAUAAUAUGGUUUAUGUACUCGUUCUGGGUAAAUUAGAAUGAAGUUUAUAUUUUAUAGACGGAAUUUGUUCCCCGGAUAGUAGUUUACGUAACCAAUUGCGGAACUUUCUUGCUAAUAAUAUAUUAUUAAGAAGAGUUUUAUAUUCUUAUUAUUAUAUAUUUAUAACGGCUAUCAAUUAACAAUCAAUUCAAAACUGGCACGGACUUGGGGAAUCCGACUGUCUAAUUAAAACAAAGCAUUGUGAUGGGCCCUAACGGGGUGUUGACACAAUGUGAUUUCUGCCCAGUGCGUCUGAACUGUCAACAGUGAAGAAAGUCACAGUAAGUCGCGGGUAAACGGCGGUGAGUAACCAUGACUCUCUUAAGGUAGCCAAAUGCCUCGUCAUUUAAUUAGUAACGCGCAUGAG
rnacentral:rRNA from 1 species